rnacentral:rRNA from 1 species
CCUACGGGCGGCUGCAGUGGGGAAUAUUGCACAAUGGGCGCAAGCCUGAUGCAGCCAUGCCGCGUGUGUGAAGAAGGCCUUCGGGUUGUAAAGCACUCUCAGCGGGGAGGAAGGCGUUAAGGUUAAUAACCUUGGCGAUUGACGUUACCCGCAGAAGAAGCACUGGCUAACUCCGCGCCAGCAGCCGCGGUAAUACGGAGGGUGCAAGCGUUAAUCGGAAUUACUGGGCGUAAAGCGCACGCAGGCGGUCUGUCAAGUCGGAUGUGAAAUCCCCGGGCUCAACCUGGGAACUGCAUUCGAAACUGGCAGGCUAGAGUCUUGUAGAGGGGGGUAGAAUUCCAGGUGUAGCGGUGAAAUGCGUAGAGAUCUGGAGGAAUACCGGUGGCGAAGGCGGCCCCCUGGACAAAGACUGACGCUCAGGUGCGAAAGCGUGGGGAGCAAACAGGAUUAGAUACCCGGGUAGUC